AUUUUUGUUCGGUAUGUAAGGAAAGAAUAAGUAUUUAAACUUUUCGCCUUUGAUAUCUAAUUGAGCAAGGAUAGUAUUAAACAGUGGAUAUCCACACAGGAGGCAACAAAUAUGCAACAAGGUACAGUAAAAUGGUUUAACGCAGAUAAAGGUUUCGGGUUCAUCGAAGUUGAAGGCGGCAGCGAUGUAUUCGUUCAUUUCUCAGCUAUCCAAGGCGAUGGGUUUAAAUCUUUAGACGAAGGUCAAAAAGUGACUUUUGAAGUUGAACAAGGUCAACGCGGACCACAAGCAGUUAACGUAAACAAAGCUUAAUUAAUGAAGGAAGGACUCUAAUUAAUUUUAGAGUCCUUUUU
rnacentral:sRNA from 1 species